AGCGAACGCUGGCGGCAGGCCUAACACAUGCAAGUCGAACGCCCUAGCAAUAGGGAGUGGCAGACGGGUGAGUAACACGUGGGAACGUGCCCUUCGGUUCGGAAUAACUCAGGGAAACUUGGGCUAAUACCGGAUACGUCCGAAAGGAGAAAGAUUUAUCGCCGAAGGAUCGGCCCGCGUCUGAUUAGCUAGUUGGUGGGGUAACGGCCCACCAAGGCGACGAUCAGUAGCUGGUCUGAGAGGAUGAUCAGCCUCACUGGGACUGAGUCACGGCCCAGACUCCUACGGGAGGCAGCAGUGGGGAAUAUUGGACAAUGGGCGCAAGCCUGAUCCAGCCAUGCCGCGUGGGUGAUGAAGGCCCUAGGGUUGUAAAGCCCUUUCGGCGGGGAAGAUAAUGACGGUACCCGCAGAAGAAGCCCCGGCUAACUUCGUGCCAGCAGCCGCGGUAAGAC
rnacentral:rRNA from 1 species